rnacentral:lncRNA from 1 species
AAAAAAGGAUUUAAACAGCAGGUCACUGCCCAAAUAAUGAAUGGAACAACUGCACCAUAUUCAUUCAUCUGUAGCAACUUCUGUAUGAUAUCAAUCAGAACAAGGGAGAGAAAAUCAACACGUACUCUUCUACUUUGAUGGAGAUGGGGCUAUACCAAAUAACUUUCAGUAAAAUGCAGAUACUUGUAACUGUUAAUUUUUCUGAAGGAAAUGGGUAUUAGCACCAUAGACCUUUAGUAUUUCUGAAAAUGAUUAAUCUUCAACUAACCGCUCAAUGACAAGUGAACUUACAGGGGUAUGCACUAUCUGAUUCAGACGUUUGCCAACUUCACCAUCAUUUUUAUUGAGAAUUGUCAACAAGAUCGACUGUCAUCUCCGCUCCAUACAGGUAUACUCCUGGGCAACAUGUGGAACCUAUCAGCCUCAUGAGAAACAUGUGUAACCUAUCGAGGUUAUCCUAAUCCUGCACCAUUACCAGCAAAAAGCAUCAAUAAAUAGGCAAACUCUUCAAGAGAAGCAACAUACACAUCUGUACUAACCAUCCCAGAUAUACCACUGCUAUUUAUUUGUUCAGAGGUAUGCACAGGUUAAGUUUGUUUCAGUGCUACCUCAUCGUCCCAUUUGAAACUAUAAAUAAAACACUAACAAACCUUGCAUUUAUUCUUUCAAACCAAGAAAACCUUCAACUGUUAUAUGUCUCAAACAAAUGUAGGAACACACAUGUUAAUUUGGCGGAGAAAUGUGUCCAUGAGUAUUCAAUGCAUUAGCCAUGAGCCAAGUUGCGGGAAGAGACACUACAUCCAUCCAUAUCCAUUUCUGGGAGAAAUUCGGGGGUAAAGUAAAGGGCAAAGCUUGCUUGCGCUGCCUGCACCGGCUUGCUCAUACGUGUUCCUGCAAAAUGAUGGAUGUCUUGCCGGAGAAAUGAGACAGCAGAACCCCUCCCCACUGUCGAACAGCUGCGGUCGGCGGCCGCCGGCGAGAGAGUAGAUGGAAUGGAUCCUCCUGAGCACCAUCUCUGACGCCAUGUAUUCCUCAUCUCUUCUAGCGUUCCC